GGCAGAGAAUGGAGCAGAACAACACUGCAGCGAAGAUUACAACACUGGUGCCUGCACAAAGCCAGGCUGUAUUAAGUGAUUUAAAGGAGUCCCAUAAAAGAUGCUCUGGGAUUGAAUGAAGCUUAGCGCCAGCAGAGUCCGAGUGGUGCCCUUGUACCUCUAAGCACCUCUAAGCUUUACAGGGUGAUUUUUCAGGCCUGGUUUAUUAAGGCCAGGGAAGCUGAUGCAGUCAAGCUGGCAGCCCUUUCCCACCAUUCCUGAAUUUUGUAAGCUAAUAUUCCGGCCUCACAGCCUUGCAUAACCUCCCUGCUCGUCGGUGUGGUGGUUUUGGUGGCGAUGCCAGGUGGGAGAAGAGGAGCACUGGGCAGCAGAGAUUCUUUCCACUGACACAAACAGCAUUCCCAGAAAAAAGAUGAAGCUGUCAGCUUGACCACCACAUCAACCAAAUCUACAGGAGUUCUUCAGAAUAAACCCUUUCAAACAUGAAGAUCAUUGUUUCACUGAAACCCGCCUCAUGGACCUGCCCCAAAUCUCCUAGUAGUGAGGAAAAUUAUUUUCCUUAAAAAGCUGCCGUCCUGCUACUGCAUUUAUUGGCAAAAUCUGAAGGCUUCCUUGCUUUUUCAUGGGAUUUUCCUGACUCAAUGCAGCACGUGGUGGUGCUGGAGAAGAAAUGUGGGUGUGCUGCAGAAUCUCUUGCAGCUGAAAGAAAAGCACGUGAAGAAAUGGAUGGUGUCUUCACCAAUAGCAAAACAUAACUGGAAUUAAGUGCACAUCUGCCAAUGAUGGUCAAGGUAAUGCAAAAUUAUAAAUAUUGACAAGAGAGAUCUGGUCCUGCCUUGGCAGGUGAAGUCACAGAGACAAGAGUUGUGUCAUCAGCUUUGUGUUCAUUUCAAUGAACCUGGUGAAAAGGAAGAAGUGAAACUUACUUCAGUGCUCAAGACAAACAUCCUUUCUUACCUUCUCUGGUUACUGGUAGGUUCGAAAUUUCUUUUUAGGUAACUUAAUUUGAAGUGUGAUAUCAACUGUUAUACUUUUGAGACUUUCCUUUGUAGUUAGAAUAAUAUAAUAUAUUGUAAGCAUGAAGAAUGUUGGAUCUGCACUUCACUCUCUAUUGGCUUAUAUUAAAAUACUAAGUUGA